rnacentral:lncRNA from 1 species
CAGCUGGACUCAGUUUAGAUGAUCCCAAUUUUGUGGACAACAUCCAAAACAUCAUAGUCAGGAGCCAGUCGAACAUAUGCCUUCCUUUCUCCUUUGGGCCUGAUCAGAGUGUUGACCUUGGCCAUGUCAAUGUCAUACAGCCUCUUCACAGCCUGUUUGAUCUGAUGCUUUUGGCCUUGACAUCCACGAUGAACACAAGUUUAUUACUGUCUUCUGCUUUC